UCCAACAGAAUGCUGGAACUUCUCCUCUAGAAACCUGGGUUGCUACAAAGGCUAUCUCGCCCAUGGGUGGUCUGCCCAUGUCAGCAUUAUCCAGCCGCCCCCAGACUGCAGCCGAGAGGGACCAGAGCCGGCUCACAGGGUCCCGCCAGUGACAAAGCCUGUACCGUGGUCUGCCUGCCCAUCGCCCAAAGCAUGGUGGUGAGACCCUCCCAGGCAACCUGCGUCAGGUGCUGGAUCACACGGCUCCCACAGACGCACAUAUGAAUACUCUGACUUCCGAUGUCUCAAAGUAACCCGGAGUUCUACCCUGACCUGGGAUGUCCUGCUAGUUCCCCAGGUGAGUCUACCUGAACUGAGACGUUACCCAGUUCCCUGGGUAUAGACACCCUGACAUCACUGGUGUCCCUAAUAACCCAGGUGUGUCUCCCUAAUUCUCAAGGUGCGUGGACACCGAAAAGGGAUGUCACUCUAAUUCUCCAGUUGUAUCUACAGUGACGUAGUCUGUGUAUUCUUCAGCUACGUCUGUCUUUAUCUUCAGAGUCAGAAGAUAAUUCUCCAAAUGUGCCAACAGUCAAGUGGAAUGCUUCUUAUUCCCCAUGGGAAUGGGAUGCACUGACAUGGGAUGUCUCCUUAGAACCCCAAGGAACUCAGACUAUGAGAUCAUGACCUGAGCCAAAUUCGGAUGCCAAACCAGCUGACCCACUCAGGCGCCCCAGUUGUUAAAGGAGGUACCUUAUGCUGCCAUGAUGCCGGUGUCACUCUGGACACUGAUUUUGUAUCUUGUACCCUUACUGGAUUCACUUAUCAGUUCUAAGUUU